UACGGAGGGUGCAAGCGUUAUCCGGAUUCACUGGGUUUAAAGGGUGCGUAGGCGGGCAGGUAAGUCAGUGGUGAAAUCUCCGAGCUUAACUCGGAAACUGCCAUUGAUACUAUCUAUCUUGAAUACCGUGGAGGUGAGCGGAAUAUGUCAUGUAGCGGUGAAAUGCUUAGAUAUGACAUAGAACACCAAUUGCGAAGGCAGCUCGCUACACGAAUAUUGACUCUGAGGCACGAAAGCGUGGGGAUCAAACAGG
rnacentral:rRNA from 1 species